rnacentral:rRNA from 1 species
AGAGUUUGAUCAUGGCUCAGAAUCCGCUGGCGGCUGCCUAACACAUGCAAGUCGAACGAGAAAGUGGAGCAAUCCAUGAGUAAAGUGGCGACCGGGUGAGUAACACGUGACUAACCUACCUUCGAGUGGGGGAUAACCUCGGGAAACCGGGGCUAAUACCGCAUAACAUCUUUGGAGUGGAAAUUCUGGAGAUCAAAGGAGCAAUUCGCUGGAAGAGGGGGUCGCGGCUGAUUAGCUAGUUGGCGGGGUAACGGCCCACCAAGGCUUAGAUCGGUAGCCGGCCUGAGAGGGCGCACGGCCACACUGGAACUGAAACACGGUCCAGACUCCUACGGGAGGCAGCAGUGGGGAAUUUUGCGCAAUGGGGGAAACCCUGACGCAGCAACGCCGCGUGGAGGAUGAAGUCCCUUGGGACGUAAACUCCUUUCGACCCGGACGAUAAUGACGGUACGGGUGGAAGAAGCCCCGGCUAACUUCGUGCCAGCAGCCGCGGUAAUACGAGGGGGGCAAGCGUUGUUCGGAAUUAUUGGGCGUAAAGGGCGCGUAGGCGGUGCGGUAAGUCACCUGUGAAACCUCUAGGCUCAACCUAGAGCCUGCAGGCGAAACUGCCGUGCUUGAGGGUGGGAGAGGUGCGUGGAAUUCUCGGUGUAGCGGUGAAAUGCGUAGAUAUCGGGAGGAACACCUGUGGCGAAAGCGGCGCACUGGACCACAUCUGACGCUGAGGCGCGAAAGCUAGGGGAGCAAACAGGAUUAGAUACCCUAGUAGUCC